GCCUACGGCCAUACCACCCUGAGAACGCCCGAUCUCGUCUGAUCUCGGAAGCUAAGCAGGGUCGGGCCUGAUUGGUACUCGGAUGGGAGACCGCCUGGGAAUACCAGGUGCUGUAAACU
rnacentral:rRNA from 1 species